GAUGAAAGGACCUGAACAACUGCAUUUCUAAAGCAGCUGAUGUCCCUUCUGUACUUAUCUGCAUGUACUCUACAAUAUCUCAAUCAUCAUGAAGACUACCAGGAUUUCAAUUGUUAUCCUUCCAUGGAUUCUCUUGGCUUCUACUGGAUACGCCUGUGUUUUGGAAGCGAUAACGACAGCAGAAGUCUGCAAAGAGAUAGGUGCCGUUUGUGUCCCUGGAGAUGAUUGCAAGUCACUUUUCGCCCCCCAGGGAACGUGUGGUGAAGGCAUCUUAUGUUGUUUUCUGUUUAAUGGAGAAUAGCCAGCUGUGGAUAAAUGAUGGAUUCUUUUCUUCAAAGAAAUAAAAAUGGUUUAAUGCAUUUGUAAUCCA
rnacentral:lncRNA from 1 species